UACGAAGGGGGCUAGCGUUGUUCGGAUUUACUGGGCGUAAAGCGCACGUAGGCGGAUUGUUAAGUCAGGGGUGAAAUCCUGGAGCUCAACUCCAGAACUGCCUUUGAUACUGGCAAUCUUGAGUCCGGAAGAGGUGAGUGGAACUCCUAGUGUAGAGGUGGAAUUCGUAGAUAUUCGCAAGAACACCAGUGGCGAAGGCGGCUCACUGGCCCGAUACUGACGCUGAGGCACGAAAGCGUGGGGAGCAAACAGG
rnacentral:rRNA from 1 species